GUUUGCAUGGGCCGAUCCCCUUCGAUCCUCCCGAACCCACGCGGUUCAGAACCCUUGUCGAAGGACUCAGGGAAGCGCUCGUCCCAGCGCACGCCGCCAGCCUCCUCCCCGCCGCCCAACUCCGCCCGACGCCCCGACGCCUCGACACCGGUGUUACUCCUCCAGCAUACUGGCUUUCUCCCCGGUGGUGAUUGUCUGAUGUUGAUGGUGAUUGAAGUGUGGUGCAGAGCUAAUUAGUGAUGGCGAUGGUCUGAUGUUGUGGUAUCUGAGGUUCGCAUGCACCAAAAGAAGCAACAAUAAACAAGCUGGAUGAAUAAAUUUCUCCCAGGUUCUCAAUACUAGAUGACCAUGACACCAAAAGAUGGAUACAUUUGUCUGCAUUAUCUUUGGUGCAAAAUGAUGUAGUGUCUGUGAUGAACCGUUUGCUGUGAAAGAUUAUGUUGUUAUGAUAAAUUAUGAAUGCUGUGAUAAAUUAUGGCGUGGCCGAAAGCCGAAACGGACGGCAACGGCAUUGCCGAAAAGGUCGAUGUAUCUGGCCCUUCGGGACAAAGAUGUGAUAGCACCGACAUCGAUCCUCUUUUGCAAAUUACUGCGCCAUCGAUCAUCGAUAUAUCAGUUAGCUACUCC